GACGAACGCUGGCGGCGUGCUUAACACAUGCAAGUCGAACGGAAAGACCCUGCUUUUGUGGGGUGCUCGAGUGGCGAACGGGUGAGUAACACGUGAGUAACCUGCCCUUGACUUUGGGAUAACUUCAGGAAACUGGGGCUAAUACCGGAUAGGAGCUCCUGCUGCAUGGUGGGGGUUGGAAAGUUUCGGCGGUUGGGGAUGGACUCGCGGCUUAUCAGCUUGUUGGUGGGGUAGUGGCUUACCAAGGCUUUGACGGGUAGCCGGCCUGAGAGGGUGACCGGGCACAUUGGGACUGCGAUACGGCCCAGACUCCUACGGGAGGCAGCAGUGGGGAAUAUUGCACAAUGGGCGGAAGCCUGAUGCAGCAACGCCGCGUGCGGGAUGACGGCCUUCGGGUUGUAAACCGCUUUCGCCUGUGACGAAGCGUGAGUGACGGUAAUGGGUAAAGAAGCACCGGCUAACUACGUG
rnacentral:rRNA from 1 species